AGAGUUUGAUCCUGGCUCAGAAUCAACGCUGGCGGCGUGCCUAACACAUGCAAGUCGAACGAGAAAGUGGAGCAAUCCAUGAGUAAAGUGGCGACCGGGUGAGUAACACGUGACUAACCUACCUUCGAGUGGGGGAUAACCUCGGGAAACCGGGGCUAAUACCGCAUAAUAUCUUUGAAGUGGAAAUUUCGGAGAUCAAAGGAGCAAUUCGCUGGAAGAGGGGGUCGCGGCUGAUUAGCUAGUUGGCGGGGUAACGGCCCACCAAGGCUUAGAUCGGUAGCCGGCCUGAGAGGGCGCACGGCCACACUGGAACUGAAACACGGUCCANACUCCUACGGGAGGCAGCAGUGGGGAAUUUUGCGCAAUGGGGGAAACCCUGACGCAGCAACGCCGCGUGGAGGAUGAAGUCCCUUGGGACGUAAACUCCUUUCGACCCGGACGAUAAUGACGGUACGGGUGGAAGAAGCCCCGGGCUAACUUCGUGCCAGCAGCCGCGGUAAUACGAGGGGGGCAAGCGUUGUUCGGAAUUAUUGGGCGUAAAGGGCGCGUANGCGGUGCGGUAAGUCACCUGUGAAACCUCUAGGCUCAACCUANAGCCUGCAGGCGAAACUGCCGUGCUUGAGGGUGGGAGAGGUGCGUGGAAUUCCCGGUGUAGCGGUGAAAUGCGUAGAUAUCGGGANGAACACCUGUGGCU
rnacentral:rRNA from 1 species